GACGAACGCUGGCGGCGUGGAUUAGGCAUGCAAGUCGAACGGUAUCAUCCUUUCGGGGAUGAGAGAGCGGCGAACGGGUGAGUAACACGUAGGUGAUCUACCCUCAAGACGGGGACAACCCAGGGAAACUUGGGCUAAUACCGGAUGUGAGCUAUCGUGAGAUAGUUUGAAAGGUGGCUUCGGCUGCCGCUUGAGGAUGAGCCUGCGUCCUAUUAGCUAGUUGGUGAGGUAACGGCUCACCGAGGCAGUGAUAGGUAGGCGGCCUUAACGGGUGGUCGCCCACACUGGGAUUGAGAUACGGCCCAGACUCCUACGGGAGGCAGCAGUCGAGAAUAGUCUACAAUGGUCGAAAGACUGAUAGUGCGACGCCGCGUGAACGAAGAAGCCCUUCGGGGUGUAAAGUUCUUUUAUAUGUGAGCAGUGACAUCUAUAUUAAUAGUAUGGGUGUAGAGAUAUUAGCAUAUGAAUAAGCAACGGCUAACUCCGUGCC
rnacentral:rRNA from 1 species